UAGGUUAAUGAGGCGAACCGGGGGAACUGAAACAUCUAAGUACCCCGAGGAAAAGAAAUCAACCGAGAUUCCCCCAGUAGCGGCGAGCGAACGGGGAGGAGCCCAGAGCCUGAAUCAGCAUGUGUGUUAGUGGAAGCGUCUGGAAAGGCGCGCGAUACAGGGUGACAGCCCCGUACACAAAAGCGCAUGUGCUGUGAGCUCGAUGAGUAGGGCGGGACACGUGGUAUCCUGUCUGAAUAUGGGGGGACCAUCCUCCAAGGCUAAAUACUCCUGACUGACCGAUAGUGAACCAGUACCGUGAGGGAAAGGCGAAAAGAACCCCGGCGAGGGGAGUGAAAAAGAACCUGAAACCGUGU
rnacentral:rRNA from 1 species